GGUUAAGCGACUAAGCGUACACGGUGGAUGCCCUGGCAGUCAGAGGCGAUGAAGGACGUGCUAAUCUGCGAUAAGCGUCGGUAAGGUGAUAUGAACCGUUAUAACCGGCGAUUUCCGAAUGGGGAAACCCAGUGUGUUUCGACACACUAUCAUUAACUGAAUCCAUAGGUUAAUGAGGCGAACCGGGGGAACUGAAACAUCUAAGUACCCCGAGGAAAAGAAAUCAACCGAGAUUCCCCCAGUAGCGGCGAGCGAACGGGGAGCAGCCCAGAGCCUGAAUCAGUGUGUGUGUUAGUGGAAGCGUCUGGAAAGGCGCGCGAUACAGGGUGACAGCCCCGUACACAAAAAUGCACAUGCUGUGAGCUCGAUGAGUAGGGCGGGACACGUGGUAUCCUGUCUGAAUAUGGGGGGACCAUCCUCCAAGGCUAAAUACUCCUGACUGACCGAUAGUGAACCAGUACCGUGAGGGAAAGGCGAAAAGAACCCCGGCGAGGGGAGUGAAAAAGAACCUGAAACCGUGUACGUACAAGCAGUGGGAGCCUCUUUAUGGGGUGACUGCGUACCUUUUGUAUAAUGGGUCAGCGACUUAUAUUCUGUAGCAAGGUUAACCGAAUAGGGGAGCCGAAGGGAAACCGAGUCUUAACUGGGCGUUAAGUUGCAGGGUAUAGACCCGAAACCCGGUGAUCUAGCCAUGGGCAGGUUGAAGGUUGGGUAACACUAACUGGAGGACCGAACCGACUAAUGUUGAAAAAUUAGCGGAUGACUUGUGGCUGGGGGUGAAAGGCCAAUCAAACCGGGAGAUAGCUGGUUCUCCCCGAAAGCUAUUUAGGUAGCGCCUCGUGAAUUCAUCUCCGGGGGUAGAGCACUGUUUCGGCAAGGGGGUCAUCCCGACUUACCAACCCGAUGCAAACUGCGAAUACCGGAGAAUGUUAUCACGGGAGACACACGGCGGGUGCUAACGUCCGUCGUGAAGAGGGAAACAACCCAGACCGCCAGCUAAGGUCCCAAAGUCAUGGUUAAGUGGGAAACGAUGUGGGAAGGCCCAGACAGCCAGGAUGUUGGCUUAGAAGCAGCCAUCAUUUAAAGAAAGCGUAAUAGCUCACUGGUCGAGUCGGCCUGCGCGGAAGAUGUAACGGGGCUAAACCAUGCACCGAAGCUGCGGCAGCGACGCUGAUGCGUUGUUGGGUAGGGGAGCGUUCUGUAAGCCUGUGAAGGUGUGCUGUGAGGCAUGCUGGAGGUAUCAGAAGUGCGAAUGCUGACAUAAGUAACGAUAAAGCGGGUGAAAAGCCCGCUCGCCGGAAGACCAAGGGUUCCUGUCCAACGUUAAUCGGGGCAGGGUGAGUCGACCCCUAAGGCGAGGCCGAAAGGCGUAGUCGAUGGGAAACAGGUUAAUAUUCCUGUACUUGGUGUUACUGCGAAGGGGGGACGGAGAAGGCUAUGUUGGCCGGGCGACGGUUGUCCCGGUUUAAGCGUGUAGGCUGGUUUUCCAGGCAAAUCCGGAAAAUCAAGGCUGAGGCGUGAUGACGAAGCACUACGGUGCUGAAGCAACAAAUGCCCUGCUUCCAGGAAAAGCCUCUAAGCAUCAGGUAACAUCAAAUCGUACCCCAAACCGACACAGGUGGUCAGGUAGAGAAUACCAAGGCGCUUGAGAGAACUCGGGUGAAGGAACUAGGCAAAAUGGUGCCGUAACUUCGGGAGAA
rnacentral:rRNA from 1 species